rnacentral:rRNA from 1 species
AGAUUGAACGCUGGCGGCAUGCCUUACACAUGCAAGUCGAACGGCAGCACGGGAGCAAUCCUGGUGGCGAGUGGCGAACGGGUGAGUAAUAUAUCGGAACGUGCCCAGUCGUGGGGGAUAACGCAGUGAAAGCUGUGCUAAUACCGCAUACGAUCUAUGGAUGAAAGCGGGGGACUCGCAAGAGCCUCGCGCGAGUUGGAGCGGCCGAUAUCAGAUUAGCUAGUUGGUGGGUAAAGCCCACAAGGCGACGAUCUGUAGCUGGUCUGAGAGGACGACAGCCACGACUGGAACUGAGACACGGCCAGACCUCCGUACGGAGCAGCGAGUAGGGGUAAUUUUGGACUAGUCGGGACGACGAG